AUUGAACGCUGGCGGCAGGCCUAACACAUGCAAGUCGAGCGGAUGAAGGGUGCUUGCUCCUGGAUUCGGCGGCGGACGGGCGGGUGAUGCCUAAGAAUCUGCCUGGUUGUGUUGUAUAACGUCCGGACACAGGCGCUAAUACCGCAUACGUCCUUAGGGAGAACGUGGGGGAUCUUCGGACCUCACGCUAUCAGAUGAGCCUAGGUCGGAUUAGCUAGUUGGUGGGGUAAAGGCCUACCAAGGCGACGAUCCGUAACUGGUCUGAGAGGAUGAUCAGUCACACUGGAACUGAGACACGGUCCAGACUCCUACGGGAGGCAGCAGUGGGGAAUAUUGGACAAUGGGCGAAAGCCUGAUCCAGCCAUGCCGCGUGUGUGAAGAAGGUCUUCGGAUUGUAAAGCACUUUAAGUGGGGAGGAAGGGCAGUAAGUUAAUACCUUGCUGUUUUGACGUUACCAACAGAAUAAGCACCGGCUAACUUCGUG
rnacentral:rRNA from 1 species